CGGCACUUGUUGGUUUUGAUUAGAGGAAGCGAUUUUGGUUUGCUUUCUCGUGGAGACCAAUAGUGCUUACAGUGAAUGCCUGAUUCCCACCGUUUUGGUGAGAGUUGGGCAGCGGCCAGACAACCGUAGUGAUGGUAUCCACAGAUGGCGGGUUCAUUCUGUCCCCUUUUUCUACUGAUUCCAUCUCACAUUU